rnacentral:rRNA from 1 species
AGUGAACGCUGGCGGUAGGCCUAACACAUGCAAGUCGAACGGCAGCACAGUAAGAGCUUGCUCUUACGGGUGGCGAGUGGCGGACGGGUGAGGAAUACAUCGGAAUCUACUUUUUCGUGGGGGAUAACGUAGGGAAACUUACGCUAAUACCGCAUACGUCCUACGGGUGAAAGCAGGGGAUCUUCGGACCUUGCGCGUUUGAAUGAGCCGAUGUCGGAUUAGCUAGUUGGCGGGGUAAAGGCCCACCAAGGCGACGAUCCGUAGCUGGUCUGAGAGGAUGAUCAGCCACACUGGAACUGAGACACGGUCCAGACUCCUACGGGAGGCAGCAGUGGGGAAUAUUGGACAAUGGGCGCAAGCCUGAUCCAGCCAUACCGCGUGGGUGAAGAAGGCCUUCGGGUUGUAAAGCCCUUUUGCUGGGAAAGAAAAGCAGCAGGUUAAUACCCCGCUGUUCUGACGGUACCCAAAGAAUAAGCACCGGCUAACUUCGUG